ACACUGCUUUCUCUCCAGGUUCUUGCCUGUUCACACCUGAUCUGAGAAGCCUUUCACAAAUCACUGGACUGACCCUGGCUUUGUGACAACACAACAUCAAAGGCUCUCCAGAUUCGGAGUUAACUUUUCUGCAUAAAUAAAAGCUGAUGUCAAGGGCGAGAGCCAAGGACGUGGAAUAUUACAAUAGACCAAUAACAAACAAGCAAAAAAAAACAAACAAAAAAACCCCCAGCAAUCAGCCCAGAUCUUCGUGAUGUUUACCUUUAAAGCCUACACCAGCAGGACAACAUUUAUGAGGUUUUUCCAAAUGAAGUACACCAGUCCUCAGUAGAAGCUCCAUCCAACCACAUUCCACCUUUCUCUUCAUCGUUUAUGGGGUCCCUGGUGACCUCUGAGUGUUGUCUGAGGACUGAAAAUGUGUGACAUGAAUCUUUGCUGGUCUUUUAAAAUGAGGCUUUGACUGUCUCAAGGGAAAAUGGGACCGGGUAAAUUCCAUUCAGUGACCUCAAAUAAUAGUUGAAUAAAGAAUAUAAGACAUAUGUA